rnacentral:antisense_RNA from 1 species
AGCAUUCUUAUUUUAUAUAUGAGCAAACUAUGGAAUGGAAAAGAGAUUAUGAGUGUAUUACUUGAUUUGAUUUGCCCUAAGUGUUUUUUAAACGUAUGGAUUUAGCUGCCAAGAUUUAAAAAGAAGGUAUAUUUUAAUUAAAAAUCAGGAAUUGAUUUAAUUAAAAAUUUGGCUCCUCUUACAGGAAGAUCUGGCAAGAGUUAGCAUGAAGUUCUACAUUGUGACAAUCCAUGAGAGCUAAAGACUGGCUGUCUCUUGGGACAAAUAGGCUUUCUUGAGUCUG